GUACUGGAAAAACUCACUUUAAUGGCAUCACAAGCAAAAAUAUUCUCUUACAUGAUUCGGAGAAAGAGAAGAUUCUUCUCCAUGGAUCUACAAUAGAGAAGCAUUAUGAAAAUUCAUUGUGGUGAGCAUCAGACUCCAUCUUUAUGCCAAAGGUUAUCUAGGUGGUUGCACAAGACAAAGAGGUGCUUCCUUGUGGCUACUUGGGACCAGCCAUUGAGGGUGAACACAUGCAGAUAUGAUGAUGCCAACCUUGUCGACAGAGUUCUUACCUCGAGGCAGACCUCCUGGAUGUCUGUUUUGGACUGGUAGUUUUGACAGUGGUGGAUAUGUAAUCAUCUAAUGAUGCAUACACUGCCCUUCUUUUCUGCUUCUUUCUUUUGGGGGUGAACACAUGCAGAUAUGAUGAUGCCAACCUUGUCGACAGAGUUCUUACCUGGAGACAGACCUCCUGGAAAUGCUCACUUUUGACUACAUUCGGUAAUGAUACUGUAUACUUUGCUCUA